CCAGACUCCUACGGGAGGCAGCAGUGAGGAAUAUUGGUCAAUGGGCGUAAGCCUGAACCAGCCAAGUCGCGUGAGGGACGACGGCCCUACGGGUUGUAAACCUCUUUUGCCGGGGGACAAACGGCGGCACGCGUGCCGUCCUGAGGGUACCCGGAGAAAAAGCAUCGGCUAACUCCGUGCCAGCAGCCGCGGUAAUACGUAGGGAGCAAGCGUUGUCCGGAAUUACUGGGCGUAAAGGGCGCGUAGGUGGGCGCUUAAGUCAGGUGUGAAAACUCCGGGCUCAACCUGGAGACUGCACUUGAAACUGGGUGUCUUGAGGGCAGGAGAGGAAAGUGGAAUUCCUAGUGUAGCGGUGAAAUGCGUAGAUAUUAGGAGGAACACCAGUGGCGAAGGCGACUUUCUGGACUGUACCUGACGCUGAGGCGCGAAAGCGUGGGUAGCGAACGGGAUUAGAUACCCCAGUAA
rnacentral:rRNA from 1 species